AGCACUUGUAUAUUUUACUUAAUUUGUGGACAGUGACUUACAAACAGCUGCAAAAGUAAAAACCAGCCCUCUUUUGCCAGCCAGAACUCACUGUUCAGUGUGAGCUUGGGUACAAGUAAGAACUAGGGUAAG